rnacentral:rRNA from 1 species
ACGGAAGGCAGCAGUGGGGAAUAUUGCACAAUGGGCGAAAGCCUGAUGCAGCGACGCCGCGUGAACGAAGAAGUAUUUCGGUAUGUAAAGUUCUAUCAGCAGGGAAGAUAAUGACGGUACCUGACUAAGAAGCACCGGCUAAAUACGUGCCAGCAGCCGCGGUAAUACGUAUGGUGCAAGCGUUAUCCGGAUUUACUGGGUGUAAAGGGUGCGUAGGCGGCACGGCAAGUCAGAAGUGAAAUCCCAGGGCUCAACCCUGGAACUGCUUUUGAAACUGUCGAGCUAGAGUACAGGAGAGGUAAGCGGAAUUCCUAGUGUAGCGGUGAAAUGCGUAGAUAUUAGGAGGAACACCAGUGGCGAAGGCGGCUUACUGGACUGACACUGACGCUGAGGCACGAAAGCGUGGGGAGCAAACAGGAUUAGAUACCCUGGUA